rnacentral:rRNA from 1 species
GAGUUUGAUCCUGGCUCAGGACGAACGCUGGCGGCGUGCUUAACACAUGCAAGCCGAACGAUGAUGCCCAGCUUGCUGGGCGGAUUAGUGGCGAACGGGUGAGUAAUACGUGAGUAACCUGCCCUUGACUCUGGGAUAAGCCUGGGAAACUGGGUCUAAUACUGGAUACUACCUCUUACCGCAUGGUGGGUGGUGGAAAGGGUUUUACUGGUUUUGGAUGGGCUCACGGCCUAUCAGCUUGUUGGUGGGGUAAUGGCUCACCAAGGCGACGACGGGUAGCCGGCCUGAGAGGGUGACCGGCCACACUGGGACUGAGACACGGCCCAGACUCCUACGGGAGGCAGCAGUGGGGAAUAUUGCACAAUGGGCGGAAGCCUGAUGCAGCGACGCCGCGUGAGGGAUGACGGCCUUCGGGUUGUAAACCUCUUUCAGUAGGGAAGAAGCGAGAGUGACGGUACCUGCAGAAGAAGCGCCGGCUAACUACGUGCCAGCAGCCGCGGUAAUACGUAGGGCGCAAGCGUUGUCCGGAAUUAUUGGGCGUAAAGAGCUCGUAGGCGGUUUGUCGCGUCUGCUGUGAAAGCCCGGGGCUCAACCCCGGGUCUGCAGUGGGUACGGGCAGACUAGAGUGCAGUAGGGAGACUGGAAUCCUGGUGUAGCGGUGAAAUGCGCAGAUAUCAGGAGGAACACCGAUGGCGAAGGCAGGUCUCUGGGCUGUUACUGACGCUGAGGAGCGAAAGCAUGGGGAGCGAACAGGAUUAGAUACCCUGGUAGUCCAUGCCGUAAACGUUGGGCACUAGGUGUGGGGGACAUUCCACGUUUUCCGCGCCGUAGCUAACGCAUUAAGUGCCCCGCCUGGGGAGUACGGCCGCAAGGCUAAAACUCAAAGGAAUUGACGGGGGCCCGCACAAGCGGCGGAGCAUGCGGAUUAAUUCGAUGCAACGCGAAGAACCUUACCAAGGCUUGACAUUCACCGGACCGCCCCAGAGAUGGGGUUUCCCUUCGGGGCUGGUGGACAGGUGGUGCAUGGUUGUCGUCAGCUCGUGUCGUGAGAUGUUGGGUUAAGUCCCGCAACGAGCGCAACCCUCGUUCUAUGUUGCCAGCACGUGAUGGUGGGGACUCAUAGGAGACUGCCGGGGUCAACUCGGAGGAAGGUGGGGAUGACGUCAAAUCAUCAUGCCCCUUAUGUCUUGGGCUUCACGCAUGCUACAAUGGCCGGUACAAAGGGUUGCGAUACUGUGAGGUGGAGCUAAUCCCAAAAAGCCGGUCUCAGUUCGGAUUGAGGUCUGCAACUCGACCUCAUGAAGUCGGAGUCGCUAGUAAUCGCAGAUCAGCAACGCUGCGGAGAUACGUUGCCGGGCCUUGAACACACCGCCCGUCA